UGCCGGGUCGUCUAAUGGUAGGACUACAGGCUUUGAACCUGUGUAUUCUAGGUUCGACUCCUAGCCCGGCAG
rnacentral:tRNA from 1 species